CAACUAAUCCCUCUGUCCCAAAUUUCUUGUCUUAGAUUUGUCUAGAUACAGAUGUAUCUAAUACUAAAAUGUGACUUGAUACAUCCGUAUCUAGACAAAUCUAAGACAAGAAUUUUGGGACGGAGGGAGUACUUU
rfam:Triticum aestivum genome assembly, contig: Triticum_aestivum_CS42_TGACv1_scaffold_543010_6DS